GCUUGGGCAAGUGGAGAGGCCUAAGGGAGAAAAAUGAAAAAGCAGAGUCUGGCUUGAGUCACUUUGCCUCCUCUCGGGCCCAAACCCCUCUGACCAGGGAAGCCGGAGCGGGCAUCGGAGCUGAGAGAACCUGAGAGGAAAUGCAUGUGUAUGGUUCAAAACUCAAAAGGCAUCAAAAGUUAUACAAUGACAAGACUAAACCUUUCCUGCUUUGCAAUCUCUGGGUCCUUUCAAGUCCUUUGUAGCCUUCAACAGCGACCUGCUACAGGAUUUUCAGCCCCGAGGACUGGAAGUCUGGUCUGCAGCUUCUUUCCUUCUGGACCACAAAGAGGGCUUCUGGAUUCAUCUUUCCCUGCAAUCCAGCUUCUCCUCCUGGGACCCCCAUCUUGGAGACCGAGAUCACCAUCCAGCUACUCACAUUGUCUAGGAAUCUGGGAGUCAUCCUGAAUCACUCUGCCCUUAUCAGCUUCUCUUAGUCAACAAACUUUUAUUUGGUUUCUCCAGCAAACAGCCAGCCCCUGUUCAUGGUGCCGAAGACAGAAUGUACAAAACAAAUCCCUGCCCUCACGGGCUUGCCAUCAGAGACCUAUGUUGUGGAUUAUCCUACUGAACAUCUAUUACUCUGUCCCCUCCUUCCCACUGUCAUCAUCGUUGGUCCUCCUGUCACCUGGAAUCCUCUGCUUGGUAACCAGUAUGAUCUUACAAACCCAGUUCUAUCCUUGCCUGCAUUUUGCCAAAAAUCUCAAAUAAAGACUUUUUAAAAAUA